GAUUAACGCUGGCGGCGUGCAUAACACAUGCAAGUCGAACGAUGAAACUUUAAUGAACCCUUCGGGGAGAAUUAAAGCGGAUUAGUGGCGAACGGGUGAGUAACGCGUGAGUAACCUGCCUUACACAAGGGGAUAGCCUUUGGAAACGAAGAAUAAUACCCUAUAAAACCAUAAAAGCACAUGCAAUUAUGGUCAAAGUGAUAGCGGUGUAAGAUGGACUUGCGUCUGAUUAGCUAGUUGGUGAGAUAAAAGCCCACCAAGGCAACGAUCAGUAGCCGGCUUGAGAGAGUGUACGGCCACAUUGGGACUGAGACACGGCCCAGACUCCUACGGGAGGCAGCAGUGGGGAAUUUUGCACAAUGGGGGAAACCCUGAUGCAGCGACGCCGCGUGAUUUAGAAGGCCUUCGGGUUGUAAAAAUCUUUUGUAUAGGAAGAAAAUGACAGUACUAUACGAAUAAGGUCCGGCUAAGUACGUG
rnacentral:rRNA from 1 species